ACAUGACCAGUUGAAGUAUAUUGGGUUGUACAAUGGGAGUGUUCAUACACAUGAAGUCAAGCAUAGAGUUUGCUCGAAUGUACUGAAAUGACAAAAUACAGGAGAUGAAUGAGAUUUAUGCCUUUUAUGUGAUAUGACAUGCUUGUAUGCUCCUGCUACCUGUAUGUAAAUACUUGAUACAAAACAGUGAAUUGCUGCUUUUUGGUCACUGUGAUAGUAGAGAGCACACAGAGCUCUCACGAGAGAGAUUGCCAGGCAGUGCAUCAAAGGCUAGUUGGAUAAUUUUGGCAUGCACGAUUUGGCCUGAAAAUUAAGUGCUCCUGCUGUAAAAUGUAGUGGAGAACUGCAAGAUUUAAAACCAGGAGAUUUCUAGGUAAAGCCUGAAACUGGAACUUAAACAAGAGCAAGAGAGUAAGUUCUAGAACUCAGGAGCUAGAGCAAGACGAGAGGUACAGUUUCUUAGUGUUGCUUCUGGAAACAAUAUUUAUUCUGAAUUAAAACCCAGUCUCUUGGUUAUGAAUUUUUUUCAAGCAGGAAUGGCUGAUAUAUGUAUAAAUCCUAAAGAUGGUGAAUAUCUUAAAUGGACAGUCUGGAAGUUAACUGUUUAUGAGAGCCGCAAAGCCAAAUUUAUCCUCCUAAGUUUUUCAAACUUCAGAAAUUUUGUUGUUGCACUUUGAAAUUUUAAAUUCCUCUGCAAGCUAUUAAAAAAAAAAAAAAAGCAUCUAGGAUGUUGCCUCAGUUCUAAGUCCCCACUCUGAAUGAGGUAGAUCUGGCAUUUACAAUGGGGUGUUCCAGAUAACUUCUCUGGGCAAGGUGUGAAUAGCUGUUCUCACUGUGUACAAUGGUCCCCUUCACUUUGAGCAGAUGCUUUCUACAUAGCUUAAAAUGUGUGGUCCGUUCCCACAGAAAGUUUUGGUUCUGAUGAAUACAAAUUACCCCCCCUCCAAAAGUAAUCAAGGAACAAAAAAAUCACAAAAAACAACAACAACAAAAAAACCACACCAGAAAUCAUUUCCUGAGACUUUUCUCAACUACCUCUGUGAGGUAGUUUUAAUUUCAACACACCCCAAACUAUUUUUAAUUUAUGCCACCCAAGAAGAGGCACAAGAGGAAGAAGAUAGGAAUGGCUCUGUGUUAUGCAUGUUAAUAGGUAGAAUGUCCUAGGAUUAAAUGUGGAGUCUGAACAAUGUGAGUAUGGAGCAGUGAUAUAAAAGGCUGAUUGAUAUGUGCUGUAUAUUGAUGCCAUUAAAAUUAGCCAUAAGUAAAAGAGUUAGGAACCUAGAGAAGUUAGGGAAGGUUUGUGUUUGCUGCCUGAGAAUGUGAGAACUUCCCACACAAAUUGAACACGAUGCAAUAAUAUGCCUGUUACCUCUACAUGUUUAGAUUUUGUCCUGUUUCAUUUCUAGGGGUAAAGCUGGUGUUUUCUUUCUGAAUGCCCAAAUAUUUUGAGAAGAAUGAAGAUUAAUUGCAGAAAAAUGUUUUUGGAAAGAGACAUUGUGGCUGAAAUUCCACUCCCUUGGCCUAAUGCAGUUUCUUUGCAUGGCUAACAUUCAGUUUAGUAGGGAGGGUUGUAUAAUGCCAAAACCAGAUUCCAGAUUCUGAUGUGGGCUCUCGUCUACUGCCAUAGGAACUGUGUUUGGCAAUCCAGACCUCUGUCUUUGGUCUAACAGAAACUGCCUAAUAAUUUGAAAACACUUGGGAGACAUGUUGGCUGUAUAUGCACCUAAUUUCAUCUGGAAAUUAGACUAAAAAGAAAAGCUUCUCUAUGCAAUAUAUGUGAAGUUGUCAAAACCAGGCAAAGGAAAAAGUCUCUUGAGAUUGGAGCUGGUUUUAGCUAGCUGGUGUCUUUCCCAACCAUUCAAGAGAAUGGACUCUGAAUACUGAGAUGUCUGUGCCCUGUGUGCCCUACUGAUGUAAAAAUCAGCUUCUCUUUUGCUUCUAUCAGUAAACAUGGAAUAUUAGAACAAAAUAACUCAGUAAAAAUUCUUGCUGUUUUCCAAGAAAGUUUGGAAAGCAAUGAAAUUGGAUAUCUUUGGACUGGCAGAAUUCCUUCUGCCUGGGUAGCUUUUAUGGCUCUGUUCAUCCAUUAAGGCGAUUUGCUCUCUUUGCACUCCCACCUCUUCCAUGGCCUAAAACACACAGAUUGUGGGAACUUCAAGACAGAGACAAGCACACAAAUCUCAUCAACAGAAUCUGAGUACAUUACCUGGUCUUGCCCCCUUCACUCACACUGAAAAGCAGUGCACUCAGCAUCCAAGAGGGGAUACCCACUGUCUUCAAAAGAAGGUGUUCCCCAAACAACCUCUGACUUCUGCCUUACCAAGAGAAAUAUGCCUGCCACAGCAUUCCUCCACUUUGAGAUCAGACCAGCCUUGGAAAUAUCUUGGUGAAUCCUUCCUUGACAAUAAGGCAGAGAAGGAGAUUGACUGGCUGUCUCAUCAUGUCCACUGUCUUGGGAGACGGAUGAGCGAUGGUAGAAGGAUUGAGAGCAUGCACUGGUGUGAUAACUGUGAUCCCUAUGUCAAUGGGAUGUCCAGAGUCAGCUACCACAGGCAAACAGAUUGAGUGAAGUCCUACAGGCUUACAGGAUAAGUGCAUAUGUCAACUGUCCUGGCUUAGAAUGAACUCCACCAGCAAUGACCUUGUGCUUUCACUCCUGGUUAUAGCUACCAGAGCCUCUUGAGCUACAGGGCAUAGUCCACACAGAAAGAAACUUUGCGGGAUUUUUGGGGGCAGGGGGAUGGAUGUUUUUGAAAAGCUUAGAUCCUGCCAGAUCUUUGCAAGAAGCACCGGAAUGGACUCAACUGCUGCCAGGCUGCAAAAGAUCUCUCAAGAGUUGCCUCCCUUCUCAUCUAUCUUGGGCUCAUGAUGAGUGAGGUGAACCACCUGCUCCACACACUUGCCUCGUUGUGCCACAGUCUGAGACAUGGCAAACUAUUGCACUGAAGUCCUGCCGUGGAGGUUGGGAGGAACCUAGGUUCCUUUAAUCUCUUGGUUAGACCAAAGUAACUCUGAUAAAACAAAACACGCCAUGUAGUCUCAUACCCUGCCUCAGAGGCAAUUGGCUCCAGCCUUUCUCAGAGAAAACUGUGCUCUGCACCAGGCACAGUUUUGAGAAUAAACUGGGUAUUUUAGAAUGGCAGCAUUUUUACGGAAGGAGAUGUUGUUCAAAAGCACAUACCUCUCCUGAAAGAGAAUGGUAUGGCAGUGGUGAGCUGUUUUCCUUUUACUGAGUGUUCAUCUGUGCAAUGUACAGGGUGCUUCUCUCUUCCAGUUUUUCAGAAGUACAGCAGUCUAGAUGGCAUGUAUAGCAUAUAAAUUGUCCUGAAUAUUUGCACCACUUAUGGGAUUUUAUGCCAUCCAGAAAAUAAUAUAAGUUUCUACUAUAUUUGGGAAGGAAAACCCAUAGAAGAUAUUGGGAUGGUCAUUGCCAGCAUUACUUUCUGCUGACAGAGGUAUAGAAAGGUUCUAGGCUGAGCUCUCUCCUUUAAGUGGAGAGGUGAUAGCUGUGUGGGAAAUCCCUUUUUUAGCAGAGAUAAGACCCAACCCAAUGCUCACUGCAGCUACAGAAACACUGUUUGUCUACCAUUGUGUGUGUGGUGUCCUUCCAGGCCCUACCUACUCCUUGCUAUCAUCUCCCUACACUCUCAGUCUUUGCGAGUGAAGAACAAGGUGGCAAAAACAUUCUUAGCAGAAUUUUCUCCCUGCUUGAGUUCACCGUGCAGUUACAGAGCUGUGCUGACAUGUGUGACCUGAGGGAAGAAGUGAAAGGGCACCAACAGCAGGAAGGAGUAGGACAGACCGCUUCAGUUGGAAAUGGAUCUAACUACGGCUUCAUCAGUUCCAGUGGUCUUUGAGCUUCCCUUUUAGUGGUUUGUCUUGUGUCGGGUGUUACACAUAGAUACAAUGUCUGAUGUUAUAAUUUGCACUACUUUGACUAUUAGUAAGUAGUGUCUCUCCUAAUAAGGAUUUAGAAAAAUAUUUAAUUAUUAGGUUAUUGAUUAGGGAGCUCAGUGAGUGUAUAUUGUAAUUCGCUAUGACUGCUUGGCUGUGGUUGGACAGUUCAUUUGGUCAUUGCUUUCUUUUUAAUUAUGUAGGUACUUGAAGAUCUGGUUUGAGUGUGGGCCCUCCACUGGGAUAAAUCUACCAGUUUAUUGACAGUUUAUUAAGGAGUGGAACCAAACCCGCAGAUUUUUUAAAAAAUAAGAUAAUUACCUCCCCACUGUACUUGGCACUGGUGAGGCCCCACUUUAAAUACUGUGUUCAGUUUUGGGCCCCUCAUCAUAAGAAGGACAUCGUAGUACUAGAGAGAGUGCAGAGGAGGGCAAGAAAGCUGGUGAGGGGUCUGGAGCACAAGUCUGAUGAGGAGCAGCUGAGGGAACUGGGGCUGUUUAGCCUGGAGAAAAGGAGGCUGAGGGGAGACCUGAUCACUGUCUACAACUACCUGAAAGAAGGUUGUAGCACGGAGGGUGUUGGUCUCUUCUCCCAAGUAACAAGUGAUUGGAAGAGAGGAAAUGGCCUCAAUUUCCACCAGGGGAAGUUUAGACUGAAAAUUAGGAAAAAAUUCUUCACAAAAAGGGUUGGAACAGGCUGCCUUGUGAAGUGGGGGAGUCACCAUCCCUGGUGGUGUUUAAAAGUCAUUUAGAUGAGGUUCUUAGGGACAUGGUUUAGUGCUAGAGUUAGGUUAAGUUAUGGUUGGACUCGAUGAUCCUGAAGGUUUCUUCCAAUUGAAAUGAUUCUAUGAUUCUAUGAUUUUAUUAUUAAAUUUAAAGCUAAGCCAAAUAUUAAAAUCAACAAUAUGACAACUCUUAGAUGCUAGCUAGCACAUUCUGUUAUAAAAUAAAGAUGAAGACUUGGUUUCAUUAUGGGUAUUGUUGUAUUGUCUGCCUGAGGUGUGCACUGAGGCAGAAGUUUGGGAAUUCUUUUGGUGGAUGAACUAAAGGUAAUUCGAGAGUCGCAUUUAAUCUCACUUUAGUUUUUCAUGGGUAUAGUUCCCUUGACUGAUGUGUGAUUGUAUUAUGUCAUUGUGGAUAGGUGCUGACUGCCCAAAACAACAUUAAAUUACUGUGCUCAUAACUGAGAAGCAGAGCUGAACCUAUGGCAAAGUCCCAAAGUGUCCCUGAAAGUGUAGGAAGCUUAAAUCUUAAACCUGGCCUAGUUCUGCCUAAUGACUUCAGUCCAACCUCCUGAUCCAAACGCUGCUGAACUUUGGGAAUGUUUGGAUGUGGUUCCAAAGUCUGUAGCUUGAAUCCAGCUAUAUCUAGGAGGACAGAUUUGUAAAACAGAUGUUUUCCCACUGGAAGUAUGUACAUGAGCCCUAUUAGCAAAACAAAAGGGGUUGUCCUGCAAAACAUUCCCAAAUGCACUCAGCAAACAGAAGAGGAAAGUUUAUUCUCUGGGCAGAAAGCUAAUGUCUCACUUGGAGUCAAUUUGAAAAGCUUCCAGUAUGGCUGGCAUCUGUCACCACACUGAAACAAGAACAGUGGCUUUGAGGAGUGUCGUAGAAAUACAUGAAGUCCCAUUUGACUUGAGGGAAUGGUUAGGAACCAAAUGAAGUAUCAAGUGGUUAUUCCCUCAUCCAGAGGUGAAAUCCAAGCUCUACUCAAAUUUGUGAAAUAAAUCCCAUUCAUUUCAGUGGUGUUAGGAUUUCAUGCCAGCUCUUCAAUACUGCAAACAGGACUUACCUGUUUCAUUGUGCAGAAGAUCUGGAAAAUCCGCACAUGUAUGAAAUGGACAUUGUUUCUUGAAGAAGAUCAUUUUAUGAGCCUGUUAUAGCUGAAAGCUGUUGGCACAAAAGAUACUUACUAAAAACUAAGGGAAAGAGUUGGCACCUUACCACCAUUGUGAUCUUUAUGGAUAGAAAUGCACUACUUCUUUGAGUUUCUGACAAUUGGUAAAAUGUCAGAGACCAACUUAAUAUUACCAAGCUAUGUUUUGUAGCUGGUGUCUAAGCUUGCAUUUUUUGUAUUAUGUAAUGGCUCAGAACCAAGUAAUUACAUAUCCAAAUGUGAUCCUUCAUUUACUUUGGCAAUGGAUCUUUGUCUGUCAUCAUUUUAAUCCAUUUACUGGGGGAAUGGAUAGAGACUGCCAUACCUGAGAAACAAAGAAUGCUAUCUCAGAUUUCUCUGUGCUUGAAAUAUUUCAACAAAUGCCAUUUUCUGUCAUGCCUCAGAACAGUCUCUUUAUCUGAACUCUGAAUACUGCUGUUUGUCUCAUAAAUAUUGUCUAGUAUUUGACCACUGUGUAUUUGACUUUUUGACUGACAGACUGUAAUUCCUCUUGAGCCAUGGUAGCCUAUCAAGUUGACAUCUAUUUCCAUUUUACACUGUGUUUCUUUUAUCAUUCCUUUCAGGAUUUACAGGCUUACAGUCUGAUAUAUUUAGUGCAUUAAAGAAAACUAUUAAUUUGCA